rnacentral:misc_RNA from 1 species
GCCGAUUGAAGAAGGUGAUAGAGAGGGAUGAAUUCUGUGGCUGCUGCAGCGUCUUCGGUGGUGCCGACCCGAUUUUCGGGAGGGCACAACUACUUUAAGGAACACAGAGGAUUGCAGUUCAUCAGCACAUCUAAGUGGAAUAGGACACUAAAUUUUACACGAGUUGGGACCGGGACUGCUCCAUAUCUUGCUCCACAAUCUGGUGAUGAUGAUAUCCUGUCUCAUCCUAUAGAUAGAGUAUCUGUAGGACGAAGUACGUCUGUUAAUGGACAGGACACUAUUUCUACCAGUACCUUUGACCAAG